CUGUCUGAAGAUUGAAGUCUGAGUGAAAAUAUAAAUUAUUUAAAAC
rnacentral:rRNA from 1 species